AAACCAUAACUUUCCCUCUAUUGUUAAGAGGCUGAACAUACAAAACAGAUCAACUCCAGAGUCAGUGUAAGCCAAGUUGCAGUUUUCUUGAGAAAUAAUGUUAGUUGAAACAGUUUUCAGUAUUUGUUUCAGCUAAGUCAUCAGUCAGCUAAAAUCCUUCAUUAGUCAGCUAAAGCGCAGCAAAUUAAUAAUACGUUCCUUUGUUGAUAACUCCUUUCUCAUUUAAUGGUGCCUCCAUUGGUUGCUGUUACAUUAAAACACUGGCAAAGUAAUAAAGUAUUUCCUUGCUUACUCUUUUAUCACUCUGGUUAGGCUAUGGCUUAAAAAGAAUAAACAUACUUUUGGUAAACUAAAAGAAUGCUAAAUAAAUGAUUAACUUGAGAAUAUAAGAAAAACAUCAUAAGUAGCUAAUUAAUUUGCAGAUAAUGGGAGAUAACAUGUAACUGAUGCUUCUCCAGUUGGCCUCUAUUUCCUGGCUAUGGAUCUAAAUAAUGUCAAAAUGUCACACUCCAUCAUUUGCCACUUUACUGAGAAGUGGGGGAGUAAACAGAGAUACAACUCAGAAGCAUUGUGAUUCAAGUACGGAGGAGGCAUGAAGCCAAGGAGACUACAGAUGAAUGUACUUGGAAUCCAGCCUGGGCCAUGACCAGACUUGUACCCAUUAGGGUACAGACUCAUCUUGGGAAACAGAAUCUACUCCUAAUCAUCCAGAAUGCCCUUGAAGUAGGUGGGCAGGCUCUAUGCUGCAGGUGGUGAAGUGGCCCUGACAUACCUUAUUCUUCCAGAGGCCCUUGAGGACUUCUAAGCCCUCUCACAUCAUCCAUCUAUUCCCAUUGAACCGAACCUUGCUUCAUAGUCACACUAAUCGCCAAAAGAGUUUCUGGCUAAGUGAGACCAAAGUACUCAUAACAACAAGCAUCUGUCAUCUACCAUAAUACUCUCUACUAUGGAUUUUAAUUGGUAGCAAUGAUUUCAAAACUUGACUGCUGUUGAGUUUUAGAUGAAUCAUCUUACCCAGCCCCUGCCCAUGCCUCCAACUGCAUCUUGAGCUACUCUCCAUUUGCUGAGGGCAUUUGCUCAGGACACUCCAGCUCCACUAGCCUUUUCCAGCUCCUCCAGCACUACGCUGACCUCCUUCCAACUCAUCCAACACAUCAAACUACUUCCUGCCUCAGAGCCUUCCCUCUGCUUGGACAUCUUUUUCUCCAUUUCUUGCUUGACCAACUUGUUUCUACUCAACUUCCAGAUUCCUGUUUUAAGGUUGGUUUUAAGAGCAGCCUUCUGAGAUCCUCCCAAGGUCAAGGGUUAGUCACCUGGUAAGAAGCUGCCAAUUGCAAAUAAGAGUGUGCACUUGCUGGAUGUCUUCUGUUUGCUCUCUUGACCCACCUUCUACCAUUCCCCACCUUCUUCUUUGCCUCCGGAAGGGAGCUUUCUGGACUGCACCAACAAGCUACUUUGUCCUCUGGCUUGUCCUCGGAUUCAGUCAGUGGGAGGUACCCACAAGGUGACUUAGAAGGCAGAAGAGGAAUGAGGUAAGGGAAAUAUUCCAGCAUACAGUUGUAAUACACUGUGGUGAAGGGGUACAGCUGCAGAUUUUUCACCUGUAAUGCCCCACUGGUAUUGUGGCUUACUGCAUUGCAUCAAGACUGCCUUCCUGUCCGGAAAACCCUCUAAGUACAAACAAGACUCUAAGUCCAGAUUUUAUUUUCCCCUGGUAUCAGAAUAUGGUAAUUUAAGAGCCCUGAGAAAUACUUUUUAGACUUUAAAAGGAAAUGUGUAACGUUCUUUUAUUAGAAUCUAUGUUUGGGUUGGUUUUUCAAAAAACUUAACAUAUGACCCAGUUAUCUUAUCGAUUUAUCAAGCUACCAGGUUUCAAGCAAAUGCAGGUGUGUAAUAUGACAUCUUUCAAGAAAAUAUUUUUCCUUAAAGAGAAAGAAUAAAAAUAUACUCAGAACUUCUGAGUUAAAACUUAGAGCAGGGGCAACUUUACUAGUUUAUGGUGUCUUUUAAUGAGACUACAAACUCUAAACUCAUAUUAUGUUUUAGUCUCAUUUCUAACUGUUCAGAUAUUUUACUUAUUUGUAUCAAAUGCAGUCAAAUGUACAUCAUUUACUAUAAAUAACAAUACUUGGGAAUCAGGGAGAGCUUAAUUCUACAUUUACUUGCUAACUAGUUUUGUCAUCUUGAGUUAAAGUCACCUAACCAACGUAAGCCUUAGUUUCCUUACCCACAAAAAUUUAGGAAGAUAGAAUAAGAACUACUUUAGUUCUUUCCAACUCUGAAGAAAUACAUAAGAUUUACUUUUUUAAGUUUAUAUUUUAGGAAAAGAACUAAUAUUUUAAAAUGCAUACUACAUGUGAAGAUUUACAUUAUUCAAUUUUAAUGGUAAUUCUGUAAGUUAGUAAGAGUAUAUCCAUUUUACAGAUCAAGAAAAUAAAGUUCAGAAAGUUAAAAAAACCUGUCAAGGAUCUCAAUGAUAAUUAGUUGCAAAGCCGGGACUCCUGGAGAUUCCAGAGCCCAGGAAGCUUUUUCACCUUGUCAUACUGACUCCCGUAUUUCAGUUACUUGACGGUCAUGGUUUUCAAAAAUAUAAACUGACAAAUAAGCAAUGCUCAUAAACCAAACACUUACACUGUGACAACUUGUUACAUGAUUGUUUUAAAGCUAAAAAGGUGUAAUCAUUGAUAGUUGGUUCUUUCAAAAUUUAUUUUCAAGUUUUACAUUCAGAGGUAGAUAAUAGGUUCUUAAUAACUCUUGAUAAUGUGAAAACUAUAGUACAGAUAGGCAACUCUCAGUAACUGUGAAGAAGUCAAUAAGGAUUAGAGAAUAACUUAAAAUUUUUAAAUAUUUUAGAAAAAAGUCAACUUAGCAUAUUUUACAAAGCUUCCUCAUAUGUCAAAUAUUUAGGCUAGAUCUAGGGUCAGUAAACUUUGCCUGUAAAGGGCUAUAGAACAAAUGCUUUAGGCUUUGUUUGCCACGUGGUCUCUGUUGCAACUACUUGACUCUACAACUACUUGACUCUGACUAUUGUAGUAUAUAAGCAAUAUGUAAAUGAGCAUAUGUGUCUAUGUUCCAAUAAAAUUUUAUUUACAAAAACAGGUGGUGGGCUAGAUUUGGCCCACAGGCUGUAGUUUGCUGCUGAUCCCUUGAUUAGAUGAAAAGCAAUGCCCUUACAGAGGCCCUUUAGGGUAUAUGUCUACUAGGGAAUAGUUCUCCAUGGGUCUAGCACAUUUUCACAUAUCUUAUAGGUAAAGGCAUUGCCUGCCUUUUCCCCAGACUAUCUUUUCUUUUCUUAAAAUUUAAAAUGUACUUUUUUUUUUUAGAGAUGGAGUCUUGCUAUGUUUGCCCAGGCUGGCCUUGAACUCCUAGGCUCAAGCGAUCCUCCUCUCUCAGUCUCCUGAGUGGGAUUACAGGCGCAUGCCACAAACCCAGUCCAGACUGUUUUUUCAAGGAUAAAUAUAUGAUAAACAGUCAACGAAGACAGAUAGUUGUCUCCCUAGAAAGAAAAGGGCAGGCAGGCUUACUGUCCAUUAUAAAAGAUUCAGGUCCUCCAAAUCAGAGUCCUCUACUAUAAUACAACUCCCUGUGUGUGCAGACAUCAGCUGGUCCUCUUCAUGUCAUCCUCAGAGACUUAGGGUUUGGAACUAGCAUAUCUGCAGACACUCUGUUGUAGGUAAAGAACUAUGUUUCAUCUCUGAUCCAGCAUUCUCAUGUUUUCUAUCCAUGAGACUUGCAAAUAAGGUCAAACUCUAACUUUUCACAAUUCUUGACAAUGUCUGUACUUUAUUGAAAGUGAUUUUAUAUGUAACACAUAUAUUACAUACAUAUAGAAAUGUAUGUUUAAAAAUGUGUUUUAAUUAGCCUAUCAAGUAUACUUAAUAUAUUUAUCAAAUAUUCAUUAAAUGUUUCCAUGAUAAGUGUAAACUAGGGAUACAACGAUCAGCGAGGCAGACAGACAUGAUUCGUGACUUCAUAGAACUUACAAACGUAAUAAAUAGUCAAGUACCUGGGAUUACUAGAAGUGAUUUGAAGUGUGUUUUAAAAAUAUAAGCAUUUUCUUUACCAAUGUACUCAUUCCAUACUUUUCUGGUAGAUUUGAAUAUGUCUUUACAGUCCAAAUUAAAUUAAAUGAAUUAAUUUAACUAUCAGUGGAAGAGAUCUUCUUCUCAUAUAAUAAGUCUGUAAUUUCAUACUGUAGAGCUGAUGAAAAGUAGGCAAGACACUCAUGAUUUUGACUCUGAUGGAGGUGCUGAUCAAAAUAAAAAUUAUUUAUAGGCAGAUAACAGGAAGGAGAAAGAAUAAAAAGCAUGAAAAGCUAAAAAAAAAUAAUAAGCCUGCAUAAUUAGCUCCUAAGUAAGGGGCAGACUAUACAGUGUAGUUUUGAAAAUAGUUAUCUUAGUUGACCUCUGGUAUUCUGGAUAAAUGUCCUAGGGGAAUAAAUCUCAGUGUGGUCAAAACACAAUUGUGUGCAAAUUCCAUCAACAUUCCUAAGGAAUUAGGCCCCAAUUCUGGCCCCUAACUCUCUGCCCAAACUAAUGUACCACUUCACACUACAUAGACCUUUAGCUGUCAUCAGUUUGUCUCCAUUCAGUUUCUUGAAAUCUCAUCCAUCUUUCAAAACUACUCACUACACCUCUGACAAAAAAGAAAAACAAAAACAAACAGCCCUCCCCAAUCAUCCAAAUUAGAAGUAAUUUCUGAAUUCCCAAAACACCCCAUGUAUGGUUUAAACUCUUACGGCACUUAAUAAUACUAUCUAAUGUUGUUAUCUGUGCAUAUCUGUGCACAGAGAACUCUAACUUAUGUGCCCCUCUAACUGCCUGUCUCUCCACAAUGGUGCCUUGUGUAGAAUAAGCACUAAUCUCAGCUUCUAUGUCUUUGUUCAAAACCCUCUCCAGAAGUGCUACAAAGGUCUCCUGCUCUUCAGCCUGCUCACGUAAAGCCCAGACUAUGGGCUUUACAUUUUCAGUACAUUAAGAUAAUCUUCUUCUAUUUCAUUUUAAGCUUUCAUGAAGUCGUAGUCAACACUCACUAAGUACUAUGUUAGGCACUGGAGAUCAAAGAUAAAUAUUAUAUAAACUCUGUUCUCAAGAAGAGCAAAGUGGAAGGAAGUAAUAUAAAUGGGCCCAGGAAAGGGUAAUAUAAGUGUCCCAAAGUGGGGCAACUUUUCCACCUGGUUGGAGACAGGGGACAUCAGGGGAAGGCUUUCUGGAGGAAGGGUCAAGAAAUAAACAUAUAAAAGUAACAUAAAUUCACAAAUGUCCACAAUGUGUUUGCUAUUUCAGAGUUCAACUUAAGGUCUUUUCUACCUUAGAAAUACUUCAUCACGAAUGAAUAUAAAAUAUAUACCAUUCAAUUAAAACUAAAUGCAUAUAAAAUAUAAACCAUUUCAAACACACAUAAAUCCACUGACAGGAAAUAAAAAUGUAAUUAUUGCAAACCAUUGUGAAGUCUCUUUUUAAAAAAUAGAUAAGAUGUUAAGAUGUAUUUGCAUAUAAACUUAAAAAUCAGAAAACUUAAUUUUCAUUAUGUGUAUAAUACGUUUUGUUCAUGACACAUAAAACUACUUGGAUUUAUCCAAAAGACAGGCAAUAAUAAAUGCUGGUGAGGGUGUGGGGAAAAGGGAACCCAUGUACACUGUCGGUGGGAAUAUAAAUUAGUACAACUACUAUGGAGAACAGUAUGGAGGGUCCUCACAAAACUAAAAAUAGAACUAUCAUAUGAUCCAGCAAUGCUACUGCUAGGUAUAUAACAAAAAGAAAGGAAAUCAUAUAUUUAAAAGAUAUCUGUACUCUAAUGUUUAUUGCAGCACUAUUUACAAUAGCCAAGAUUUGGAAGCAACCCAAGUGUCCAUCAACAGAUGAACAGAUAAAGAAAAUGUGGUACAUACACACAAUGGAGUACUACUCAGCCAUAAAAAAGAAUGAAAUCCUGUCAUUUACCACAACAUAGAUGGAACCGGAGGACAUUACGUUAAAUGAAAUAAGCCAGGCACAGAAAAACAAACUCUGCAUGCUCUCACUCAUUUGUGGGAGCUAAAAAUUGAAAUGAUUGAACUCAUGGAGAUAAAGAAUAGAAGGAAGGUUACCAGAGGCUAGGAAGAGUAUUGGGGCAGGGGAAGGGAGGUGGGUAUGGUUAAGGGAUACAAAAAUACAGUUAGAAUGAAAAAGAUCUAGUGUCUGAUAGAACAACAGGGUGACUACAGUGAACAAUAAUUUACUGUGCAUUUAAAAAUAACUAAAAUAAUAUAAUUGGAAUGUUUAUAACAGAAAGAAAUGAUAAAUGCUUGAGGUGAUGGUUAUUGCAUUUACCCUGUUGUGAUUAUUAUGCAUUGUAUGACUGUAUCAAAAUAUCUCAUUUACCUCAUAAAUAUAUACAUCUACUAUGUACCCA
rnacentral:lncRNA from 1 species